rnacentral:rRNA from 1 species
UUGACCUCGGAUCAGGUAGGGAUACCCGCUGAACUUAAGCAUAUCAAUAAGCGGAGGAAAAGAAACCAACAGGGAUUGCCUCAGUAACGGCGAGUGAAGCGGCAAGAGCUCAAAUUUGAAAGCUGGCCCCCUCGGGGUCCGCAUUGUAAUUUGCAGAGGAUGCUUCGGGAGUGGCCCCCAUCUAAGUGCUCUGGAACGGGCCGUCAUAGAGGGUGAGA